rnacentral:rRNA from 1 species
GACGAACGCUGGCGGCGUGCUUAACACAUGCAAGUCGAACGGUGAAGGGGUCUGCUUUUGUGGGCCCUGGAUGAGUGGCGAACGGGUGAGUAACACGUGAGUAACCUGCCCCCUUCUUCUGGAUAACCGCAUGAAAGUGUGGCUAAUACGGGAUAUUCUGGGUCUGUCGCAUGAUGGGUCUGGGAAAGAUUGCGCCUUUGGGUGUUUUUGGUGGGGGAUGGGCUCGCGGCCUAUCAGCUUGUUGGUGGGGUGAUGGCCUACCAAGGCGGUGACGGGUAGCCGGCCUGAGAGGGUGGACGGUCACACUGGGACUGAGACACGGCCCAGACUCCUACGGGAGGCAGCAGUGGGGAAUAUUGCACAAUGGGCGCAAGCCUGAUGCAGCGACGCCGCGUGAGGGAGGGAGGCCUUCGGGUUGUAAACCCCUUUCGCCAGUGAGGCAGGCCUGCUCCUUGUGGGUGGGUUGACGGUAGCUGGAGAAGAAGCGCCGGCUAACUACGUG